GGUUCGAUGGUGUAGUUGGUUAUCACUUCUGUCUAACAUUCUCGCAUUCCACUGCGUAAUGUGUGCACAGGCGGUCCUCAGUUCGAACCUGGGUCGAAUCA